CCUACGGGCGGCUGCAGUGAGGAAUAUUGCACAAUGGACGCAAGUCUGAUGCAGCAACGCCGCGUGGAGGAUGAAGGUCUUUGGAUUGUAAACUCCUUUUCUCAGGGAAGAGAAUGGACGGUACCUGAGGAAUAAGUCACGGCUAACUACGUGCCAGCAGCCGCGGUAAUACGUAGGUGGCAAGCGUUAUUCGGAAUUACUGGGCGUAAAGCGCACGCAGGCGGUCUUUUAAGUUUGACGUGAAAGCUCUCGGCUUAACUGGGGGAGGUGGUUGAAAACUGGGGGGCUUGAGGCAAGGAGAGGGGUGUAGAAUUCCCGGUGUAGUGGUGGAAUGCGUAGAUAUCGGGGGGAAUACCAGUGGCGAAAGCGGCACCCUAGCGUUGUACUGACGCUCAUGUGCGAAAGCGUGGGGAGCGAACGGGAUUAGAUACCCUAGUAGUC
rnacentral:rRNA from 1 species